UCAGAUGCGAAAGCGUGGGUAGCAAACAGGAUUAGAUACCCUGGUAGUCCACGCCGUAAACGCUGUCUACUUGGAGGUUGAGGUUUUAGACUUUGGCUUUCGGCGCUAACGCAUUAAGUAGACCGCCUGGGGAGUACGGCCGCAAGGUUAAAACUCAAAUGAAUUGACGGGGGCCCGCACAAGCGGUGGAGCAUGUGGUUUAAUUCGAUGCAACGCGAAGAACCUUACCUACUCUUGACAUCCAGCGAAGCCUUUAGAGAUAGAGGCGUGCCUUCGGGAGCGCUGAGACAGGUGCUGCAUGGCUGUCGUCAGCUCGUGUUGUGAAAUGUUGGGUUAAGUCCCGCAACGAGCGCAACCCUUAUCCUUGUUUGCCAGCACAUAAUGGUGGGAACUCCAGGGAGACUGCCGGUGAUAAACCGGAGGAAGGUGGGGACGACGUCAAGUCAUCAUGGCCCUUACGAGUAGGGCUACACACGUGCUACAAUGGCAGAUACAGAGGGCAGCGAGACAGCGACGUUUAGCGAAUCCCUUAAAGUUUGUCGUAGUCCGGAUUGGAGUCUGCAACUCGACUCCAUGAAGUCGGAAUCGCUAGUAAUCGUGGAUCAGAAUGCCACGGUGAAUACGUUCCCGGGCCUUGUACACACCGCCC
rnacentral:rRNA from 1 species